CUUCAGGAGGUACCCACUCUCCAGGGACUGGAAUCUAGUAAUGCUAGUCAUCAUGCCAUGCUUCCUGGGUUAUUGCAAUUCUUCCAUAAGCCCACAGCAGUAUCCUUCAGGCUAACUCUCAGGCUGCCCUGGCUACUCCACCAGAGAAGGACUGUGCCCCUUCCUCUACCAAAGGAAUGUUUUCAGGGACUAUAUACUCUAUUGGGCCCACUUUGAUUAAUCCUGCAUCCUUCUCAGUAUUUCAUGUCAGAGGUGAGUCAGGUUAUCUUUUAGGUGUAUUAGUCUUUCUGGCUGAGCAUUCAUUUAAAAACUGGGA
rnacentral:lncRNA from 1 species